rnacentral:tRNA from 1 species
GGGGAUUUAGCUAAGUGGUGUAAGCAUUUGCCUGGCAAGCACAAGGUUAUGAGCUUGAUCCCCA